GAGGUAUCAGAAGUGCGAAUGCUGACAUAAGUAACGAUAAAGCGGGUGAAAAGCCCGCUCGCCGGAAGACCAAGGGUUCCUGUCCAACGUUAAUCGGGGCAGGGUGAGUCGACCCCUAAGGCGAGGCCGAAAGGCGUAGUCGAUGGGAAACAGGUUAAUAUUCCUGUACUUGGUGUUACUGCGAAGGGGGGACGGAGAAGGCUAUGUUGGCCGGGCGACGGUUGUCCCGGUUUAAGCGUGUAGGCUGGUUUUCCAGGCAAAUCCGGAAAAUCAAGGCUGAGGCGUGAUGACGAGGCACUACGGUGCUGAAGCAACAAAUGCCCUGCUUCCAGGAAAAGCCUCUAAGCAUCAGGUAACAUCAAAUCGUACCCCAAACCGACACAGGUGGUCAGGUAGAGAAUACCAAGGCGCUUGAGAGAACUCGGGUGAAGGAACUAGGCAAAAUGGUGCCGUAACUUCGGGAGAAGGCACGCUGAUAUGUAGGUGAAGUGAUUUACUCAUGGAGCUGAAAUCAGUCGAAGAUACCAGCUGGCUGCAACUGUUUAUUAAAAACACAGCACUGUGCAAACACGAAAGUGGACGUAUACGGUGUGACGCCUGCCCGGUGCCGGAAGGUUAAUUGAUGGGGU
rnacentral:rRNA from 1 species